rnacentral:rRNA from 1 species
CAAGGCUUGACAUAUACGAGAACGGGCCAGAAAUGGUCAACUCUUUGGACACUCGUAAACAGGUGGUGCAUGGUUGUCGUCAGCUCGUGUCGUGAGAUGUUGGGUUAAGUCCCGCAACGAGCGCAACCCUCGUUCUAUGUUGCCAGCACGUAAUGGUGGGAACUCAUGGGAUACUGCCGGGGUCAACUCGGAGGAAGGUGGGGAUGACGUCAAAUCAUCAUGCCCCUUAUGUCUUGGGCUUCACGCAUGCUACAAUGGCCGGUACAAAGGGCUGCAAUACCGUAAGGUGGAGCGAAUCCCAAAAAGCCGGUCCCAGUUCGGAUUGAGGUCUGCAACUCGACCUCAUGAAGUCGGAGUCGCUAGUAAUCGCAGAUCAGCAACGCUGCGGUGAAUACGUUCCC